rnacentral:rRNA from 1 species
UACGUAGGGGGCAAGCGUUGUCCGGAAUCAUUGGGCGUAAAGCGCGCGUAGGCGGCCCGGUAAGUCCGUUGUAAAAGUCAAAGGCUCAACCUUUGAAAGCCGAUGGAUACUGCCGGGCUAGAAUCCGGAAGAGGCGAGUGGAAUUCCUGGUGUAGCGGUGGAAUGCGCAGAUAUCAGGAGGAACACCAACAGCGAAGGCAGCUCGCUGGGACGGUAUUGACGCUAAGGCGCGAAAGCGUGGGGAGCGAACAGG